ACCUAAUGAUGUGGAAAUUUAUGAAGUAGGUCCCUAAAAUGCUCCCAUAUUUCAAAGAAAAGUUCCUUAUCCGUCUAUGUGAAACUUGUGAUUUUCCUUCACAACU